CCCUUAGAUGUUCUGGGCCGCACACGCGCUACACUGAAGGAGGCAGCGUGUACUCCUGGAUCGAAAGAUUUGGGUAACCCGCGAAUCUCCUUCGUGCUAGGGAUUGAGGUUUGCAAUUAUCCUUCAUGAACGAGGAAUUCCCAGUAAGUGCAAGUCAUAAGCUUGCGCUGACUACGUCCCUGCCCUUUGCACACACCGCCCGUCGCUACUACCGAUUGAAUGAUUUAGUGAGGACUUCGGACUGGGACCGAUGCGGCUUUCGGGCUGCGUCGGUAUUCUGGAAAGAUGUCCAAACUGUAUCAUUUAGAGGAAGUAAAAGUCGUAACA
rnacentral:rRNA from 1 species